rnacentral:rRNA from 1 species
AUUGAACGCUGGCGGCAUGCCUUACACAUGCAAGUCGAGCGGCAGCGCGGGGGCAACCCUGGCGGCGAGCGGCGGACGGGUGAGUAAUGCAUCGGAACGUGUCCUCUUGUGGGGGAUAACCAGUCGAAAGACUGGCUAAUACCGCAUGAGCUCGUAAGAGGAAAGCAGGGGACCCGCAAGGGCCUUGCGCGAGAGGAGCGGCCGAUGCCCGAUUAGCAGUUGGUGGGGUAAAGGCCUACCAAGGCGACGAUCGGUAGCUGGUCUGAGAGGAUGAUCAGCCACACUGGGACUGAGACACGGCCCAGACUCCUACGGGAGGCAGCAGUGGGAAUUUUGGACAAUGGGGGAACCCUGAUCCAGCCAUGCCGCGUGCGGGAAGAAGG